rnacentral:rRNA from 1 species
CGCCCUUCAGAGGGGGACAACAGUUGGAAACGACUGCUAAUACCGCAUACGAUCCAAUCUCGGCAUCGAGACUGGAUGAAAGGUGGCCUCUAUUUAUAAGCUAUCACUGAAGGAGGGGAUUGCGUCUGAUUAGCUAGUUGGAGGGGUAACGGCCCACCGAGGCGAUGAUCAGUAGCCGGUCUGAGAGGAUGAACGGCCACAUUGGGACUGAGACACGGCCCAG